rnacentral:lncRNA from 1 species
AUCAUCACCGUACAUGUAUAGUAUACCAAUUUCUGCUGCGCUCACUCUGGGCAUCCUUCUGACUGCCAGCAAUGUUUUCGGAAAGCUAGGAGCUCCAGGAGGACCUCAGAAGCUGCCCUUCGAAGCACCUGACACUUUAAAGGUUUUCGACAGCUUUCGUUUCGCUGUGUCUAUCUCGGAUGCCGACAACGACACCGUGUUCGAGUGCUUGCAAGCCUAUCGGAGUGCCUUCGACCCAGAAAAGAAGACCGCCACCUAUAUUUUCAUUUUCCCAAACACACAGUAUGCUUUUUAACUUACAUUCAGCGUGUGUUCAACCACUCACUAUGCUGCUCAAUCAUAUCCAGUAUUU